rnacentral:tRNA from 1 species
GCAGAGAAGGUUCAGGGGAGAGCUCUGGACUGGGACUCCGGAGACCUGGGUUCUCUUCCCAACUCUGCC